UACGUAGGGGGCAAGCGUUAUCCGGAUUUACUGGGUGUAAAGGGGGCGCAGACGGCAGCGCAAGCCAGGAGUGAAAGCCCGGGGCCCAACCCCGGGACUGCUCUUGGAACUGCGCGGCUGGAGUGCAGGAGGGGCAGGCGGAAUUCCUGGUGUAGCGGUGAAAUGCGUAGAUAUCAGGAGGAACACCGGUGGCGAAGGCGGCCUGCUGGACUGCGACUGACGUUGAGGCCCGAAAGCGUGGGGAGCAAACA
rnacentral:rRNA from 1 species